rnacentral:rRNA from 1 species
AGUGAACGCUGGCGGUAGGCCUAACACAUGCAAGUCGAACGGCAGCACAGUAAGAGCUUGCUCUUACGGGUGGCGAGAGGCGGACGGGUGAGGAGUAUAUCGGAAUCUACUCUUUCGUGGAGGAUAACGUAGGGAAACUUACGCUAAUACCGCAUACGACCUACGGGUGAAAGCAGGGGAUCUUCGGACCUUGCGCGAUUGAAUGAGCGGAUGUCGGAUUAGCUAGUUGGCGGGGUAAAGGCCCACCAAGGCGACGAUCCGCAGCUGGUGUGAGUGGAGGAUCGGCCACACUAGAACUGGACCACAGUCCAGACUACUGCGGGACGCAGCAGUGGCGAAUAGUGGCCAAUGGGGGCAAACCUUCUACAGUCGUACCGAGUGGGUGGAGAAGGCGUUCGGGUUGUAAAGCCCUUUUGUUGGGGAAGAAAAGCUGCAGGUUGAUACCCCGCUGUUCUGACGUUACCGAAAGAAUAAGCACCGGCUAACUUCGUG